CCUCCUGCGCACAGUUUCUUUCUUCUUCUUUUUCUUCCUUAUCUCCAUUUCUCUCUCUCUCCAUAUUCUUUUCUUUCCCUCUCUCUUAAUUUUCUCUCCCAAUCUUCAUCUAUUUUAGAAUCUGAUUAGACCAUGUUGUAGCUGACGAGUUAAGGAACAUUUCUACCGAUCAGAUUUUCAAACAGAGUAAGUUCAUUUUUACUCUAAAUAUCCUUUGUUCUCUGUUUUUCCUUAGGAUUUAGUCAUCAAUCUUGGUGGGGUCAGUUGAGAAGUUUAAUCCUCUCAACUUAUUCUAUUAUAUACUGAAAUUUUGUUUUGUUUGGAUAAUUUGCAUUAGGCCCGUAAAUCUUGAAGUCUAUCCAAACGGUGAGGAAUAAAAUUCUAAAAGUUGCUUGGAAAGCAAGCAAUUGAGGUAAGGGAAGCUAAAUUUAAUUUUUAAUAGCACCCUAGGAUAGAAGAUCUGAAUGCAGAAGGGACGUGGUCCCAAUAUUCAAUUUCUCUUGCAGGGAUGUUGUGUGCUUAUUUAUAUUGGGUUGUUUGUUUAUAUAUUAUUUAAAUUUGUGGAAAUAUUGGAUUUUGAUGAUUUAUUAUUAAAGUGUUAUUUUUUUAUGUCAAAUAAACUUUUGAAUAUUGUGGAUAACUUUUUGAAUGAUAUUGUAUGACAGAAUGGUAUGGAAUUGAAUUCAUACAUUUGGGAUAAUGUAUGGACUGAUGUUUGUUGUGUAUUAAGUAUUGAUGCCUAUGUGGUAACAGAGAUCUCAGAGCUUCACUGAUGAUUUAAGUCACAUAGACUAAGAUAUCAGGUGGUGAGAAGCUGAUGGGGGAGUUCAUGCACACCGUGACAUAUGAGAUGCACGGCUUGGGUUGUAUUGAACUUACCCUGAUCCUUUCUGUUGGAUUCGCUGGUAAUCUUUGGAUCAGGUGUUAGUCUCUGGUAGGACUUACUUAAUAAGGGUCUUCCGGAAGACGUUGUUUGUUGAACAUUCUAGAUGUGUAGAUCCAUGUGAGAUCUAUGUGAUUGUUUAUUGUUGAGAUUUGAAGAAAUUUGAAUAAUUUGAGAAAUUGAUCAUGUAAUUUGGUUUUCUUUUUUGAUUUAAUUGUGUAUAUUAUAAAAUUCUAUUUUCACUAGCUUACCCUUGCUUUUCUUGUUGUGUUUGAACUGCAAUGACUAUACUAUGUAUACGAGCAGAUGACCAUACAGGUGCAGGAGAGCCUUAGAGGGUUCAGAGUCUUAUUUUGAGCUCUGGAUAUGUAACUAUUUGUAUUUCUAUAAAUCCUAAUCAUGUAUUAGGAAUGUUUUUUAAAAACUCCAAAUUUAUAUAGAAACUGGUAGAACUUUUAUUGUAAUAGUUAUAUGUAAAUUAUGGGGUGUUACACCAACCACCAUAAGAAUUCAAAUAUAUCAAUAUAAGUUAUAAUAACAAGUACUUAAA
rnacentral:lncRNA from 1 species